AAUUGGGAUUUUACCCGACAGCACUGCCGGAUUACUCCGUUUUAAGUGUGUGUUAACCCUAGUUACUGUUUCGGUGAUGGUUAGCGCACUUAAGCCGGAUUAAUUUAGGCGGGACUGCCACACCUAUACAGGGAAUUUCCAGAACAUUAUACAUGGAACAAGUCCACAAAAAGUUGGUCUCAUAGGAAAAGGCAGUUCCAGAUUGGAAGGUUGGUGUAUGCAUACCCGUCUGAGGGCGAACGAUUUUAUCUUCGAGUUGUUUUAAAUCAUGUUCGAGGUCCAACAUCAUUCAUAUCAAUCAGAACAGUCUGAGGUGUGGUGAGUCCUACAUUUAGAGAAUGCUGUGAGAAACUUGGACUUGUCGAAACAGAUAGUUCACUUGACAAUGCACUCAGCAAAGCCGUAACUUUUCAGAUGCCACAUGCUCUUAGAAGAAAGUUUGCAACUAUUAUGAUUUAUUGCGAGUACACAAACAUCCGUGCCCUCUGGGACAAGCAUUAUGAAUCAAUGGUUGAGGACUAUCGUCAUGUUCAUGGUAGUUCUUCAAUAGUUGAGCAGUUUGUCCUUCGAGACAUUGCAUAUAUUCUCUCCUCGAUGGGUAAAGACAUUAGAAAUUACGGACUGCCAUCCAUGCAACUAUCUGGGAGACGAAUAGAGAUUAUUAUAGGGAGCUGACUGAGGAUAGAAAAAUUGUUGUAUCUGAUGAGGACAUUAAAUUAGCUGAGCCACUUAAUGCUGAGCAGAUGGAAGGUUUCAACGAAAUUUUAGAUCAUGUUAUGACAAAUAAAGGGAAAGUUUUCUUUGUAGAUGGUUCUGGUGGGACCGGAAAGACUUAUCUUUACAGGGCACUUCUGGCCAGAGUUCGGUCGACAGACCGCAUCACAAUAGCUACGGCUACGUCUGGAAUUGAAGCAUCCAUCAUGCCUGGAGGUUGGACAGCACAUUCGAGGUUCAAAAUUCCCAUAAAACUUGAAGAUAAUUCUGUGUGCAACUUUACCAAACAAAGUGGUACUACAGAACUAUUGCGCGAGGCAUCUUUAAUUAUAUGGGAUGAGGUUGCGAUGACACGAAGGCAGGCUGUAGAGACACUUGACAGAUCUUUACAGGAUAUUACAGGAUGUGAUUUACCGUUUGGUGGUAAAGUAAUGGUAUUUGGAGGGGAUUUCAGACAAGUUCUACCUAUUGUUCCUAGAGGUACUAGAGCACAAAUUUGUGAUGCUACCUUGCUUCAAUCCUAUAUAUGGGAUGAUAUCAAGAUAAUACGGUUGAAGCAGAACAUGAGGGCCCAGAAUGAUGUAUGGUUCUCGCAGUUUCUAUUAAGAAUUGGUGAUGGGACAGAAAAGACCUUCCCACAUGACUAUGUGGAUCUGUCGGAUGACAUUAUGCUUGAGUAUAAUGAUGAUCAGUCUAUUGAUACUCUCAUCGACUAUGUGUUUCCUAAUCUAGCUAAGAAUUGCACAUCCGUCAGUUACAUGCGCGAGUGUGCUAUCUUGUCAACAAGAAAUAAGUAUGUUGUCAACAAGAAACCAUAGCACGAGCUUAUAAUUAAGAAGAACUGUCCUGUCAUACUCCUUCGAAAUUUGGAUCCUCAUCAUGGACUGUGCAAUGGAACUCGACUUAUAGUGAAGGCUUUUGAGGACAAUGCAAUUGAUUGUGAAAUUGUAAAUGGACAGCAUACUGGAAAUCGAGUUUUUAUACCAAGGAUACCAUUGUCUCCA